GGGUGACUGACCCCGCAUUAGCUAGGGGAAUGUCAAAGAUGGGACAAGGGUGCGGGGAGUUUGAAGGAGGGAUUUUCAAAUGUACUUAAGGAGAAGCAGCUAUACAAAAUCUGGCGAUGAGGUUUUGAACCAGCUAAGCUGUGAGCCUGCAAAGCUUGCAAAUUUUCCUGCAACUUCACUCCAUUGCAUUACUGGACCUACUUUACGGAACUGCUGCAUUCUGCUAUCGCUGCUGCUGAUGGUUUCUCCAGCUUCCUGACCUGCACAACCCCUGAAGUGACAUGUCAGUGGGUCUGAUGAAAGAAGCCUGGAUUUGCAAUCAGAUUGAUUCAGCCCAGACAGAAAAAGGAGGAAAACAGAUAGCAGACGGUGCUUAAAGUCUGAGGCUUGGGGUGAAUGCAGGAUAAAUAACCCUCAGAAGAGAGAGCAGGAACCUUCAACAAUUUGCACCUGAAAGUAGGCACACAGGUUACUUGGUCACAGAUUUGCCCACAAUGUUGCAACCAGAGUGCUGAACUGUAAGUAGUUCCACUGAAAAAUGAGAGCUGCUUUCAUCGUGGGGACAAGACUGUUGUUGGUUCAGUCAGAGAAUGAGGAUGCAACCCUAGAACAGGUGAAACCAAC